AAAUAUUGGCAAAUACAGUUAGACAUUGGUUAAAAAUAUCAAAAGUUGCUGAUAGUCUACUAAGUUAUAUGGAAAACAGUAUGUAGAAUAUGACCCAUUUCUUGUGCCACCUGACCCUUCUAAUCCAUGGCUGUCUGAUGAUACUACUUUCUGGGAACUUGAAGCAAGAUAAUUUUCUGGUGGACAGUAAAGAUCCACACUCCCGGCCCCUAAACUUCUUUUAAAAAGAACAUUUGCUCUUAAAAAAGAAUGAAAUUAUGGCAUUUGCCAGUAAAUGGAUGGAGCUAGAGAAUAUCAUGCUAAGUGAAAGAAGUCAAUC